CUCCAAAUCUUCCCAAACAAUGACU
rnacentral:sRNA from 1 species